UACGUAUGGGGCGAGCGUUAUUCGGAUUUAUUGGGCGUAAAGCGUAAGCAGGUGGUCUGUUAAGUUGAGUGUGAAAUUUUUAGGCUUAACCUAAAACUUGCAUUCAAAACUGGCAGACUGGAGUUUGGAAGAGGAAAAUGGAAUUCCAGGUGUAGGGGUGAAAUCUGUAGAUAUCUGGAAGAACACCAGUGGCGAAGGCGAUUUUCUGGUCCAAAACUGACACUCAUUUACGAAAGCCAGGGGAGCAAACGGG
rnacentral:rRNA from 1 species